AAAUUGUUCUGGCACUUACAUACUAUAGGUUAGUGCAAAAGUAAUUGUGGACUUUGCCAUUACGUUUAAUACAUAAAAUGAGAUAUUUAUUCAUUUAUAAAUUGGUACAGUCUCCCCAGCAACUUUGAC
rnacentral:miRNA from 10 species